UCUACGAAUUAUUAUUAUUCCAUUUUACAGGUGAGAAAAUGAAGGCACAGAGAAGACAAUGUUCUCAAGGUCGCAUAACUGGUCUUUGGAUCAACUCUUUCAACCAAUUGCCAGUUGGAAAAUCUUUGAAUUCACCUAUGACCUGGAAGCUCCUAGUUCGAGUUGUCCUGCUUUUCCGGACCAAAACAAUGGUCUUGCUCUGUCUCCCAGGAUCCAGGAUGGAGUGCAGUGGCAUGAUCAUGGCUCACUGUAGCCUCGAACUUCCUGCUUCAGCCUCCUGAGUAGCUGGAACUACAGGUGUGUAUCAUCAUGCCUAGCUAAUUUUUUUUUUAAUGUUUUAUAGGGAUGGGGUCUCUGUGUGCUGCCCAGGCUGGUCUUGAAUUCCUGGGCUCGAGCAAUCCUUCAGACUCAGCCUCCCAAAGUGCUGGGAUUACAGGUGUGAGUCACUGCACCUGGCCAAAUUUGUUUUGUUUGACAUGACAUGCUGACUUCAUAGAGAAAAUGUCUCACAAAUACUGAAGCCUAAAUAACCAUAGUUUGUCUGUUAAUAAUGUUUUCAAGUGAAAAUAGUGUUUCAUAAAAAAGUGGCUAGGUUAGCUUUGAAUUCAAGUCAUCACAUACAUACAUUUCCUUGGAACAACCACUUACUUUGGUAUUCAGCAAAAAUGCUUUAUGCCUACUUUUCAUUCAUUUAUAUGAAAAAGGUGUGUGUUCAAGAUCAAGAUUUUAUAAAAAUUAAGAAUUUUUGCUGCUUCAUUAAGGACAUUCAUAAGGACAUGAAUGGUGGUAAUACAAUGACUACUAGUAUAGUUUGGUGCCACUGCCUACAUUUGUGUUAAAGCACCAGAAGUUUUAUCCACAAUUGCUUUUAUAGCAUCAAUGGAAAAAUCAAAAUGCAAAAAAAGAGAUAAAUAACAUCUUAGUAAUAUUAUGAAAAUAGCUUUGACUCCACAGAUCUAAAAGGAUCAGACUCCUAGGCGUUUGUGAACCACACUUUGAGAACUGCUGGCCUAGAGAAAUAUCUUAGAAAAUUGUGAAGGACAUUAACUGUUUUAACUGCCUAGAGUAUCCCUUUCUUCAGGUAAGUGUUCUUUCCUCUGCUUUAAGCAACUAGUUUCAAUGGAGGUGGCUAUUUUCCUAUGGAGGCUGCCUCCUACCCUAUGGGUGACUGGUAUAGGGUAGACACCAGCCUCUUUAUAUUCAGUAUACUUUCUCAGAAUUCUUAAACUUGGAACCAGAAAAUGUCACUAAUAGUUGCUCUCUGGGAACAAAGUUAUGAAGUUCUGGCAUUUUGGUGAACCACCCAAGCAUGUAGAAAAAGCUAGUCUAAAAUAGGAUAGAGAAACCCAACUCUCAGAGAGAACCAGAAAUGGGAGAAGGCUUGGUAGCAUUCCAGUCCCUGGUUCCACUUGUCCUUGAGGCUCUACCACAUUCUUGCCCUUCCUGCUACUCUGUAAGCAUUUUGAUAAAUUUCCUUUGCCUCUAAACACUUUAUAUUUUCACAAUCUUUAUGAGUUUGUCCAACUGUCUUUUUUCUGAACACUUUUGCUAGCAUCAGUUGUUACACAGUUUAGUAGAUUCCACUUCAGAUUACACUGAAUUUGAGUUUUCUCGACUUUCAAAAUAUUCUUGACUGCAGUUUUACUCAGACCAUUCAUAGAGGCUAUGAAUUCAUGUUAUUCACUUCAAAGUCAGUAUUAAAUUAUCAAAUAAACAUCAACAACUGAAUAGUGUUUGGUAACAACUGUCAACUCAUCAAGAGCCAAAGAAAAACACUAGAAAUUAUUUUCCUUCUUUCUUAAUUUAUCCAAAAUUGACUCCUACCAUCCUCAACUUAUUAAGCAACUGUUCUCACAGAAAGAUUAAUAAUCUAAACAAGUUUACUUUCUUUGUACAUCUUCUUUUUGCUGUUAUUGUUGCUACAAUGGAAUAAAAUAUAAUUAACUUGCACCUGGUAAAUGGCUUUUCUUGCUUGACUAAAAACCAAACUACUUGGAAACUUACUUUGGUUGAAGAUUCAUUUCAGACUUUUGUGGGAAAAAUAUACUGAGAUAUUUUGUUUUAAAGUUUCAAAUUUUUCUGACUCAGGGAGUAUUGUACAUCAAAGAUAGUGUGGCAAUUAUUUAGUCUGGUACUGUAGACCUAUGUUGUAUUCUUUUAAAGUAGCAAUGACGUAAUA